UGACUCAGUACGAAGCUAACGCGUGAAGUUGACCGCCUGGGGAGUACGGCCGCAAGGUUGAAACUCAAAAGGAAUUGACGGGGACCCGCACAAGCGGUGGAUGAUGUGGUUUAAUUCGAUGCAACGCGAAAAACCUUACCUACCCUUGACAUGUCAAGAAUUCUGCAGAGAUGUGGAAGUGCUCGAAAGAGAACCUGCACACAGGUGCUGCAUGGCUGUCGUCAGCUCGUGUCGUGAGAUGUUGGGUUAAGUCCCGCAACGAGCGCAACCCUUGUCAUUAGUUGCUACGAAAGGGCACUCUAAUGAGACUGCCGGUGACAAACCGGAGGAAGGUGGGGAUGACGUCAAGUCCUCAUGGCCCUUAUAGGUGGGGCUACACACGUCAUACAAUGGCCGGUACAAAGGGCAGCCAACCCGCGAGGGGGAGCCAAUCCCAUAAAGCCGGUCGUAGUCCGGAUCGCAGUCUGCAACUCGACUGCGUGAAGUCGGAAUCGCUAGUAAUCGCAAAUCAGAAUGUUGCGGUGAAUACGUUCCCGGGCCUUGUACACACCGCCCGUCACACCAUGGGAGUUUGUUGCACCAGAAGUAGCUAGCCUAACUGCAGAGGGCGGUUACCACGGUGUGGCCGAUGACUGGGGUGAAGUCGUAACAAGGUAACCA
rnacentral:rRNA from 1 species